UACAGGGGGGGACUAGUGUUAUUCAAAAUAACUGGGCGUAAAGAGCAUGUAGGUGGUUUAAAAAAUUAAAAGUAAAAUUCCAAAAAAUCAUUUGGAAAAUCUUUUAAAAUUAAAAAAACUAGAGUAUGAAAAAAGAAUAAUAGAAUUUCUAAGGAAAUGAUAAAAUAUUUUGAUCUUAGAAGGAAUGCCACCAGCGAAAGCAAUUAUCUAGUUCAAAACUGACACUAAAGUGCGAAAGCAUGGGGAGCAAAAGGG
rnacentral:rRNA from 1 species